rnacentral:rRNA from 1 species
UACAGAGGUCUCAAGCGUUGUUCGGAUUCAUUGGGCGUAAAGGGCGCGUAGGCGGCGGGGUAAGUCGGGUGUGAAAUCUCAGAGCUCAACUCUGAAACUGCACUCGAUACUGCUCUGCUUGAGGACUGGAGAGGAGACUGGAAUUCACGGUGUAGCAGUGAAAUGCGUAGAUAUCGUGAGGAAGACCAGUGGCGAAGGCGGGUCUCUGGGCAUGAUCUGACGCUGAGGAGCGAAAGUGUGGGGAGCGAACAGG